CUCACUGGUAUUCUUGGUAUUUUGGGUUGUGGUUUCUUCCUUUAAAAACCCCUAUUCCCAGCCAUUCCGGGUCGAAACUCCUCUACCCCUGCGUGGGUUAUGAGUCUCGGCCCCAGUGUGCUGGUUCCUGUCAAUAAACCUCAUGCGAUUGCAGCAAGGACAGUCUCUCAACCCCUACAGACACAAAUACAGAGUUGACAAGAUAAAGGAAGAAGCAGUUCAAAAAAUGAUAUGCAAGCAGAUGACUGAAGUCUUCUGGGACGGAUAGAAUCAUACAUCGGCUUCAUAGCACUAAGAAAACUACUGGGUGUGCUCCAACCACGUCUGCUGAUCCUGAUCCCAAAGUAGACUUUCUUCAAACCUUACAACUAACCGCUGUUCAACUACACAUCUCAUCACCACAACAACUGUUAAAAACGUCAGCAUGUGGGUAGAGCUCUAGAAGCUGGAAUGAAAGAAUUUAUACAUGUUGUACUUCUGUGUGCCCAUGUGCUCACCUUGAGGCCAGCAUCACCAGUUCUGCCAAACCUUUGCCUACUGACCUGCAGCUCUCUCUACAUGAUUGCAAAUGUUGUUUCAAACGGUAAAGUCUUAAGAGCCAGUGACUGAUGUGUUUGGUCCCUGCUGAAUGCUUCCCGCUAAGUGCAACACAGACAUUAAAAGGCCUGGGCUAUGUUGAUGAGCAGGGAGGGAAGAUUUGUCAAAGGGACAUUGAUCUCUGUCUUGAUUCUCCACUUCCAGCAGUGCUUCUCUCCCAGGAUCCUGGCGACUUUCCCAGGAUGCUCAGCGAAGGUCUUUUCUCCAAACUUUUCCUUUCAUAAGUAACUGUAUGAACUGGACUGAACAGAAGUUUGAAGGCUGACAUGUUUUCAACAGCCCUCCUUUAAAGACUAGCUUAAAUGUCAUUUGUGUUUUCUGUGAAGACUCUACUGACUUCCUGAAUCAGUCACUUCCUCCUGUGGGAGACCACACUUCGUUGACACUCUAGCAUAGUACAAUGAUGCAGCUGUUUAUAAUUGCACACAUACACAAACUGCCUAUUUGUAUAUGUAUACUGCUAACGCCAUUGGAAGGUCUGCCUAACAGGAUAUAAGUAUAAAUUAUAACAAAUGUUUCUGUUAGUUUUAUUUAAAUAGGAGGAUUCCUGGAUAUUUAACAGCUCAUGCAGUAGUAGUUUAGGAAUUAGAGAGUCAAACAUUGGGAAUACCAAUUAAGAAUAUUUUAGAUAACAAGCAGCUUUCAAGUCUGAUAACACUGGGUGUGGUGACUCUAGAGCAGUUCAUCCCAGCCAUUGGAAUGUUGAAGCAGGAGGGAUGCUCUGAGUGGAGGCCAGCCUGAGCUACAUAGUGAGCUCCAGGCCUGCCUGAGAUACAGAGUCAGACUGAGAACUCUGCUUCUGGCAUUUCACUCUGCUAUCUCUCCUGAGAACUGGACGAUCAGUUUUGGGUAUGUUCACAAUGCACAGAACAUUACCAACCUUCCAUUUUUGUUUCUUCUAAUUAGUCUCCGACUGUGCUACCUUACACCCCUGACUCUCAUUUCUGCCCUGAUACCGUAAAUACCGUGACAUUCUAGUCAUUUUAAUUGUGAAACACAGGCAUGUCUAUUUUUAAAGAGAUGAGGGAAGUAGAGCACAGCACCCAUUGCUCUUUUUCAGUCUUCUUAUUGUAAAAUUGGGGGCAGGGAAGAGAGGCACUCAUCAGAGUUUGUCAUAUGAAAACAUCCAUGCUGGUCUGAGGUAUGAA
ensembl:lncRNA